rnacentral:rRNA from 1 species
UGGAUCCAGACUUUGAUCCUGGCUCAGGACGAACGCUGGCGGCGUGCCUAAUACAUGCAAGUCGAACGAAGCUUUCUUUCACCGAAUGCUUGCAUUCACCGAAAGAAGCUUAGUGGCGAACGGGUGAGUAACACGUAGGCAACCUGCCCAAAAGAGGGGGAUAACACUUGGAAACAGGUGCUAAUACCGCAUAACCAUGAACACCGCAUGAUGUUCAUGUAAAAGACGGCUUUUGCUGUCACUUUUGGAUGGGCCUGCGGCGUAUUAACUUGUUGGUGGGGUAACGGCCUACCAAGGUGAUGAUACGUAGCCGAACUGAGAGGUUGAUCGGCCACAUUGGGACUGAGACACGGCCCAAACUCCUACGGGAGGCAGCAGUAGGGAAUCUUCCACAAUGGACGAAAGUCUGAUGGAGCAACGCCGCGUGAAUGAAGAAGGCCUUCGGGUCGUAAAAUUCUGUUGUCAGAGAAGAACGUGCGUGAGAGUAACUGUUCACGUAUUGACGGUAUCUGACCAGAAAGCCACGGCUAACUACGUGCCAGCAGCCGCAGUAAUACGUAGGUGGCGAGCGUUGUCCGGAUUUAUUGGGCGUAAAGGGAACGCAGGCGGUCUUUUAAGUCUGAUGUGAAAGCCUUCGGCUUAACCGAAGUAGUGCAUUGGAAACUGGAAGACUUGAGUGCAGAAGAGGAGAGUGGAACUCCAUGUGUAGCGGUGAAAUGCGUAGAUAUAUGGAAGAACACCAGUGGCGAAAGCGGCUCUCUGGUCUGUAACUGACGCUGAGGUUCGAAAGCGUGGGUAGCAAGCAGGAUUAGAUACCCUGGUAGUCCACGCCGUAAACGAUGAGUGCUAAGUGUUGGAGGGUUUCCGCCCUUCAGUGCUGCAGCUAACGCAUUAAGCACUCCGCCUGGGGAGUACGGUCGCAAGACUGCAACUCAAAUGAAUUGACGGA